GCCCCAGUAGCUCAGCUGGAUAGAGCAGCCGACUUCUAAUCGGCAGGUCGUUGGUUCGAAUCCAACCUGGGGUG
rnacentral:tRNA from 1 species